CGGGUGGUAAUGCCGGAUGCUCCAGUUGACCGCAUGGUCCUCUGGGAAAGCUUUUGCGGUAUGGGAUGGGGUCGCGUCCUAUCAGCUUGAUGGCGGGGUAACGGCCCACCAUGGCUUCGACGGGUAGCCGGCCUGAGAGGGCGACCGGCCACAUUGGGACUGAGAUACGGCCCAGACUCCUACGGGAGGCAGCAGUGGGGAAUAUUGCACAAUGGGCGCAAGCCUGAUGCAGCGACGCCGCGUGCGGGAUGACGGCCUUCGGGUUGUAAACCGCUUUUGACUGGGAGCAAGCCCUUCGGGGUGAGUGUACCUUUCGAAUAAGCACCGGCUAACUACGUGCCAGCAGCCGCGGUAAUACGUAGGGUGCAAGCGUUAUCCGGAAUUAUUGGGCGUAAAGGGCUCGUAGGCGGUUCGUCGCGUCCGGUGUGAAAGUCCAUCGCUUAACGGUGGAUCCGCGCCGGGUACGGGCGGGCUUGAGUGCGGUAGGGGAGACUGGAAUUCCCGGUGUAACGGUGGAAUGUG
rnacentral:rRNA from 1 species